GGAGAGGUGUCUGAGUGGUCUAAGGUGCAGCAUUGGAAAUGCUGUGUACGGAAACGUACCCAGGGUUCGAAUCCCUGCCUCUCCGCCA
rnacentral:tRNA from 1 species